ACAGGGAUUGCCCUAGUAACGGCGAGUGAAGCGGCAACAGCUCAAAUUUGAAAUCUGGCGUCUUCGGCGUCCGAGUUGUAAUUUGCAGAGGGCGCUUUGGCAUUGGCAGCGGUCCAAGUUCCUUGGAACAGGACGUCACAGAGGGUGAGAAUCCCGUACGUGGUCGCUAGCCUUUACCGUGUAAAGCCCCUUCGACGAGUCGAGUUGUUUGGGAAUGCAGCUCUAAAUGGGAGGUAAAUUUCUUCUAAAGCUAAAUACUGGCCAGAGACCGAUAGCGCACAAGUAGAGUGAUCGAAAGAUGAAAAGCACUUUGGAAAGAGAGUUAAAAAGCACGUGAAAUUGUUGAAAGGGAAGCGCUUGCAGCCAGACUUGCCUGUAGUUGCUCAUCCGGGUUUCUACCCGGUGCACUCUUCUACGGGCAGGCCAGCAUCAGUUUGGGCGGUUGGAUAAAGGUCUCUGUCAUGUACCUCUCUUCGGGGAGAACUUAUAGGGGAGACGACAUGCAACCAGCCUGGACUGAGGUCCGCGCAUCUGCUAGGAUGCUGGCGUAAUGGCUGUAAGCGGCCCGUCUUGAAACACGGACCAAGGAGUCUAACAUCUAUGCGAGUGUUUGGGUGUCAAGCCCGAGCGCGUAAUGAAAGUGAACGGAGGUGGGAACCUUUCGGGGUGCACCAUCGACCGAUCCUGAUGUCUUCGGAUGGAUUUGAGUAAGAGCAUAGCUGUUGGGACCCGAAAGAUGGUGAACUAUGCUUGAAUAGGGUGAAGCCAGAGGAAACUCUGGUGGAGGCUCGCAGCGGUUCUGACGUGCAAAUCGAUCGUCAAAUUUGGGCAUAGGGGCGAAAGACUAAUCGAACUAUCUAGUAGCUGGUUCCUGCCGAAGUUUCCCUCAGGAUAGCAGUAACGUUUUCAGUUUUAUGAGGUAAAGCGAAUGAUUAGAGGCCUGGGGGUUGAAACAACCUUCACCUAUUCUCAAACUUUAAAUAUGUAAGAAGUCCUUGUUACUUGAUUGAACGUGGACAGUUGAAUGUAUCGUUACUAGUGGGCCAUUUUUGGUAAGCAGAACUGGCGAUGCGGGAUGAACCGAACGCGGGGUUAAGGUGCCAGAAUGCACGCUCAUCAGACACCACAAAAGGUGUUAGUUCAUCUAGACAGCAGGACGGUGGCCAUGGAAAUCCGAAUCCGCUAAGGA
rnacentral:rRNA from 2 species